GUAGUGACAACCUUGUGCAGUUGUGGUAGUUUUAAUAUCAAAAUAAAUAAACCAAUUAUGAAAUUUAAAGAUAUGAACAUUAACUGUGCAACGUUGGCGUUGAUUUAAUUCUCAAUCGAUAUAUUAUAAGCAUUAUUUGAAUAUGAUAUUUCGCACAGUCAUGUCUCUCAUGAAAAUUAAAAUUACGAACGAAGAGUCCUCACGUUGUCCAGAUAAUGUUCUUGUAUUUUGCGAUGAAAAUCGCAAUGGCAAUAUUUUACAACUAUACUAAAUUAUUAUUCGGCAUCCGUUCGAAACCAAUUUGACAGUCUGUUGUUAUUAACCAAACUCAUUUUUGUGUAUUAUAAUUACUAAGGCGGUGAUAAGAGUAAAAUUACCGGAUUUUUUUUUGUCGAGAGAAAACGCACAAUCAACUGUUUAAAAUUCCGGUGCUUGUGUGUUGUCAGUUAUACAGUACCACACAGAAAUACCAAAUUGUUAUUGCGAGCAGUAAUUUAUAUCAAACCGGCGCAGCAGUCGGCCGGGUACAAAUAGCAACACUAUUAUUAUUUUAUAACAAUAUAUACGAGUGCACAUAAAUGUUGUUUCCCAGAAGGUACUCGCAAGUCUGAGAUGCGAUUUCCGAUUUUGAUUUGGACGAUGGUGACCACCGUGAUGGCCGUGGAGAGUGUCCAGGUAUCGAACUUCGACAGUGACGUCCAAAAACUGUUAAGACAUCGCUGUGCACUCGGGUUAAAUUUCCAAUGGCCUUAGCAAAUCAACACCACCGAGAAUCCCGAUCUUACGACGCACUUGUGCCCACCCGGUAUGUUGUAUAGCAUAAAGAGCCAUAGAUGUGUAAUAACGGGAAUGGUCUGUCCGGAAGGCUCGAAGCUAGACUACAGCCUCCGUAAUUGCAUCUUGGAAAAAUCCACGACGGAGUCAACCUCAGCGAAAACCAAAGCACCAACCCUGGCGACAACUAAAGUACUAACGUAGCCACAUCAUCAGUGGCGCAACAACCGGGGAGGAUGGCGAUGCCUAACAUCGGGGCCAUAAGGCUCUAAGGGGGUCCCGUCAUAGUUGUAAACUGGGAGGGUGUUUUUACUUAAUAGAUUCAAAUUAAAGCUGCGAUCAUUUAUCAUAAAUCAUAAAUCAUUAUACAUUUUUUCUUUAUAAUUUAUAAUGUGUCAUUGUUUUUAUCGUUUAUUAUUACAAUUUACUUUUACUAUAACAUGCAUGUAUUAUUAUUUCGCUGAUCAUAGUUAAAAAUUGAGUUCAUAAAAUAGCGCGUUUAAUGAUAAGUAGUCAGUAUUAAAAGAAAAUAUUCCCAAGAAAAGGCCCAAGACUUACCUUAUUAUCGGGGCCCCAAGAACCUAGUUGUGCCACUUAUCUAUAUCUGCAGCAUUUAACUGCAAUUUAAUAACCUAACAUGUAUGUUGUAUAUAAUGUAUUAUCAUGAC